rnacentral:rRNA from 1 species
UACGGGGGGAGGACAGCUGUUGUCGAAUUACUGGGCGUAAAGGGCUCGUAGGCGGCCAACUAAGUCAGACGUGAAAUCCCUCGGCUUAACCGGGGAACUGCGUCUGAUACUGGAUGGCUAGAGGUUGGGAGAGGGAUGCGGAAUUCCAGGUGUAGCGGUGAAAUGCGUAGAUAUCUGGAGGAACACCGGUGGCGAAGGCGGCAUCCUGGACCAAUUCUGACGCUGAGGAGCGAAAGCCAGGGGAGCAAACGGG